AGUCAGUAUAAUGUCUGUGUGUUGUGUCUGAAUGGGGUAUGCAUGUUAAACUGCAGCAUGGUAUCUCACUGGCAUGGUCAUGACUAGCAUAAACAGCCAUACAUAACCA